GGAGAGGUGCUGGAGUGGUCUAACAGGCACGCCUGGAGAGCGUGUGUGGCCGUAAGGUCACCGUGGGUUCGAAUCCCACCCUCUCCGCCA
rnacentral:tRNA from 1 species